UACGAAGGGGGCUAGCGUUGCUCGGAAUCACUGGGCGUAAAGCGCACGUAGGCGGUUCGUUAAGUCGGGGGUGAAAUCCUGGAGCUCAACUCCAGAACUGCCUUCGAUACUGGCGAUCUUGAGUCUGGGAGAGGUGAGUGGAACUCCGAGUGUAGAGGUGAAAUUCGUAGAUAUUCGCAAGAACACCAGUGGCGAAGGCGGCUCACUGGCCCGGUACUGACGCUGAGGUGCGAAAGCGUGGGGAGCAAACAGG
rnacentral:rRNA from 1 species